rnacentral:lncRNA from 1 species
CAUCUCAUAUGUGAUUGGCUUAUAGGGCAUUAUUCUUUCAUGCAUAGAUUUCAAAAAUCUUUUUCAAGAGCAGCGAAAACAAAUCGGAUUAAACCUUUUAACCUCACAUACAUUAGAUCUCAUCUAAUCUGACCCAAUCUUUGGAAUAAAGAUAUGCAUAUAAUCUGAAAAUAAAAAUAAAAAUAAGAUCACAUCUCAAUACCUUUACACGGAUAGAAAUAUACCACUUCCGAUGAUCUCAGAUUCGAAGGUCCUUGAGCUGCAUGCAUGUUUGGCUUUUACAGAUAUCCAUCGAGAUCAAUCUUGAAUCCUUCUUCUCAUGAUAGAUUCUUCUUCUUCAAGUAC